GGUUUGUUAAGUCAGAUGUGAAAUCCCCGGGCUCAACCUGGGAACUGCAUUUGAAACUGGCAAGCUAGAGUCUCGUAGAGGGGGGUAGAAUUCCAGGUGUAGCGGUGAAAUGCGUAGAGAUCUGGAGGAAUACCGGUGGCGAAGGCGGCCCCCUGGACGAAGACUGACGCUCAGGUGCGAAAGCGUGGGGAGCAAACAGGAUUAGAUACCCUGGUAGUCCACGCUGUAAACGAUGUCGAUUUGGAGGUUGUGCCCUUGAGGCGUGGCUUCCGGAGCUAACGCGUUAAAUCGACCGCCUGGGGAGUACGGCCGCAAGGUUAAAACUCAAAUGAAUUGACGGGGGCCCGCACAAGCGGUGGAGCAUGUGGUUUAAUUCGAUGCAACGCGAAGAACCUUACCUACUCUUGACAUCCAGAGAACUUAGCAGAGAUGCUUUGGUGCCUUAGGGGAACUCUGAGACAGGUGCUGCAUGGCUGUCGUCAGCUCGUGUUGUGAAAUGUUGGGUUAAGGUCCCGCAACGAGCGCAACCCUUAUCCUUUGUUGCCAGCGGUUCGGCCGGGGAACUCAAAGGAGACUGCCAGUGAUAAACU
rnacentral:rRNA from 1 species